rnacentral:rRNA from 1 species
AGAGCGAACGCUGGCGGCAUGCUUAACACAUGCAAGUCGCACGGGCAUUUCGGUGUCAGUGGCGGACGGGUGAGUAUUGCGUAGGGAUUUAUCGUUGGGUGGGGGAUAACCCUGGGAAACUGGGGCUAAUACCGCAUGACGCCUGUGGGCCAAAGCAGCAAUGCGCCUGAUGAGGAGCCUGCGUUCGAUUAGCUUGUUGGUGGGGUUAUGGCCUACCAAGGCGACGAUCGAUAGCUGGUCUGAGAGGAUGAUCAGCCACACUGGGAUUGAGACACGGCCCAGACUCCUACGGGAGGCAGCAGUGGGGAAUAUUGGACAAUGGGCGCAAGCCUGAUCCAGCAAUGCCGCGUGGAUGAAGAAGGUUUUCGGAUUGUAAAGUCCUUUCGGCGGGGACGAUGAUGACGGUACCCGCAGAAGAAGCCCGGCUAACUCGCGCCAGCAGCCGCGGUAA